UUUUUUUUACUUUAAACUUUGAUUUUAUUUUUAUGUUUUUUAAAUAUUGGUGUUUUUGAAUGUGUUGUUUAAAUAACAUAAAAAAUAAAAUAUAUAUUGACAUGUAUUAAACAAAGAUAUAUAUUAUUUUAUGUUGUAUAAAUAAAUUGGCAAAAUAGAGAUGGAAGAUAAAAAUAUGGUCAAAGUAAUAAGAGUCUAUGG
rnacentral:misc_RNA from 1 species